rnacentral:sRNA from 1 species
UAGAAAGGAUGGAAAUUCUGUGCUACUAACUCCUACCUCCAUCAGCCAUGUCUUCAUGACCAUGAUGAACUGCACCCUCUACCGAGAUGAUCUUCUCCACCAGCUGGUUGUAGCUGCAGUUGCCAACAGCUCUUACAAUGUCAUCGAUCUGGAAAACACAUGAUGGUCCCACUAGUCCCGGAGAGAUUGGAAACAGUAACAAAGACAGGCUCUCUCAACAUAGCACAAGCUAGCAUCGAAUUUGCCAUAAGGACUGCGAUGGGACCAGUGCUUUGAAGCUCCAGCCGCCAUGGCUUCCCUGACUUAAUGGACUGUACCCUCAAACUGUGAGCGAAAAUAAACCCUACCUUAAGUUGCUUUUUUCAGGUAUUUUGUUACAGCAGAAAACUGGUUCUCAGGAAUGGAGCCUUUGAUAAACCUGAUCAUGUUUAUCCUACUGAGCUGGUUUGUGGAAGAAUGUGGAAAAGUUUGGAACCCUGGGCUAGAGAAGCCCUCAAAUGCUAUAAGCAGAGGUUAAUCAAAAUAGCCUUCCAAUUCAGUAGCAUGCAUGCAUACUUAUCAACACACUAAUCCAGAGGAUUGGAACCCAGAUGGCUUCAUCUGCAGCCUCAGAUCCCCAACAUAGAGCUGCCAGAUUUGGUGUUGGAAUCUCUCCUUCACUAUCCAACUCAGUUCUUCAUAACUGGUUAGCAUAAUUCAAGUUAUUCUUCUUCCAGGGGACAUUUUAACUAUGGGUGGAAUAUCAAUUUGAAAACAAGUGCUGAGAUGCAUCUCUCAAAACCCAGAUACUGCAAGCUUAAAUAUGAUACUAUAUUCUGAGGCCUCAGUACACCUCCUCUUCCCUUUCUGUUCUCCAAGACCUGAGAUUUAUCAUUCCUUAUUUUAGUUGUUAAAAGAGUUUUAGCUUCCCUAACAAACAUUCUAAUGUAUAGUUACCAGUAAAGGUGCCAAACCUUUGGAGUAGAGUCAAGGAGACAAGUAAAAAAAAA